rnacentral:rRNA from 1 species
AUGUUAGCUAUGAAUGUUCCUAAAUAUUUGUGGGCUGAAGCUGUGAUGACAGCGGCUUAUUUGAUGAAUAGAAUGCCAUCCCGGGUGCUCAAUAACAAGACACUGAUUGAGUGUCUAACUGGUGAAACUACAUAUGUUGUGCCACCAAAGGUAUUUGGAUGUGUAUGCUUUGUGAGGGAUCAUAGACCAUCGGUUGGGAAGCUAGAUCCUAGAGCAGUGAAGUGUAUAUUCGUGGGAUACUCUGGAAAACAAAAAGGUUAUAAAUGUUGGUGCCCGUCGGAAAAACGAAUGUUUGUAAGCAUGGAUGUAGUGUUCAGGGAACAUGACUCAUUCUAUGGAGAACCUGUAGAUUUGACUGAUGUUUUCCCAGAUUUAUAUAUUAAUGAUGUUCCAGAUGUGGACAGCAAGACAGGGGGAGAGGAAGGAAUGGAAAGUUAUCCUACUACAUCGAAAGAAAUGGUGGUUGGAGUAAUACCACAUGAAGAAAGUCAUGAAGAUAGGGAUGUGGGUUCUAUAGAAGCAGAACAAGAUACAUUAGAUGAAGCAACACGGUGGCCAAAGCCAAAUGAAGAACAAGAAGUUCGGGUGUAUAGAAGAAGACACCAAACCGAGAGGGAUCGGUGGCCAAAGCCAAAUGAAGAACAAGAAGUUCGGGUGUAUAGAGGAAGACACCAAACCGAGAGGGAUCAAGUGCAGGGGGAGGAGAACAAUCCAUUGGGACAGAAUCUUGAAGUUCAAGGUCAGUCAGACGCACAUGAUUUAAAUUCGAGACCUUCUGAAAGUGAUGGUACACUCUCCUCUCCACACGAUGACUUAGAUAUUCCUAUAGCAUUCAGAAAGCAGCCUCGCACUACUGCCAGAAUGUUGCCUUCGAAAUUAUCCUCCUAUGAUAUCUCUAAUUAUGUGUCAUAUAUAUCUGUUGGCCCCCAGUACAAGUCUUUUUUAGUAUCCUUGGAAUCUGCUGCACGUAUACCAUGUAAUUGGCAGGAAGCUAAACGAGAUCCAAGGUGGAGACAAGCAAUGCUUGAGGAAAUGGCUGCCCUUGAUAAAAACAAUACUUGGAUACUUACAACUCUUCCUGCAAAUAAGAGAGCUGUUGGCUGUAAAUGGGUGUUCACUGUUAAGGAGAAUUCAGAAGGUAAAGUAGAGAGAUAUAAAGCCAGAUUAGUGGCGAAAGGGUACAGUCAAACCUAUGGGAUAGAUUAUGAUGAAACUUUUGCACCGGUGGCAAAAAUGAAUACUGUUAGAACUCUUAUCUCCAUUGCAGCCAAUCAUAAGUGGAAACUAUUUCAAAUGGACGUUAAGAAUGCAUUUCUCCAUGGGGACUUGCUUGAAGAAGUCUAUAUGGAGAUUCCUCCAGGUUUUAGUAGUCAGGAAACUGAAGGAAAAGUUUGUAGGCUAAAGAAAUCCCUUUAUGGACUUAAGCAAUCACCAAGGGCAUGGUUUGGGAGAUUUAGAAAGGAAUUGUGUUUACUGGGGUACCAACAAAGUAAUGAUGAUGAAGGAAUAUCUAAAUUGAAGAAAAUGUUAUCUAGAUCAUUUGAAGUGAAAGAUCUGGGGUUUCUCCACUACUUCCUGGGAAUCGAGGUUGUCUACGGUGCUCAAGGUAUUUAUCUCUCACAGAGGAAAUAUGUUCUUGAUUUGCUUGCUGAAACCGGGAUGCUUGACUGUAGACCAGCUAGUACACCAAUUGAACCAAAUCAUCAUAUUAAAGCUGACUCUGGGGAUCCCAUAGAUAAAGGCCAAUAUCAGAGAUUAGUAGGGCGAUUAAUUUACCUUUCUCAUACAAGGCCAGACAUUGCAUAUGCAGUGAGCAUUGUGAGUAGAUAUAUGCAUGAUCCCCGGUCCCAACACUUGAAUGCUGUACACAGAAUUCUGCGGUACCUUAAAAGCUGUCCUGGGAAAGGAAUUCUAUUCUCAAAUCAUGGACAUCUGAGAAUUGAGGGCUAUACCGAUGCUGAUUGGGCUGGCUGCUUAGACGAUAGAAGAUCAACAUCAGGUUACUGCAUGUUUGUUGGAGGUAAUCUUGUGAGUUGGAGGAGUAAGAGGCAGAGUGUGGUUGCACGAUCGACUGCAGAAGCAGAGUUUAGGUCAAUGGCGUCAGGCUUGUGUGAGACAAUGUGGCUGAGAAUCUUGUUGAGUGAACUUGGGUUGUAUGAUAGUGCUCCUCUUCAACUGUAUUGUGGCAAUCAGGCUACAAUUAAUCUAGUGAAUAACCCAGUCCAUCAUGAUAGAACGAAGCACAUUGAGAUAGAUAGACAUUUCAUUCGAGAGAAGUUAGAGCAGGGAGCACUUCAUAUUGGCUUUGUGAAAUCAGUAGAUCAACUUGCUGAUGUCUUAACCAAAGGAGUUAAUGUUGUAUUAUUUGAGAAACUAUGUAGCAAGAUGGGGCUAAUAGACAUAUUUGCCCCAUCUUGA